UACAGAGGGUGCGAGCGUUAAUCGGAAUUACUGGGCGUAAAGCGCGCGUAGGCGGCUUUUCAAGUCGAUUGUGAAAUCCCCGGGCUUAACCUGGGAACUGCAGUCGAGACUGUCUAGCUAGAGUAUGGGAGAGGGAAGUGGAAUUUCAGGUGUAGCGGUGAAAUGCGUAGAUAUCUGGAGGAACACCGGUGGCGAAGGCGGCAUCCUGGACCAUUACUGACACUGAAAAGCGAAAGCCAGGGGAGCAAACGGG
rnacentral:rRNA from 1 species